CCUACGGGAGGCAGCAGUGGGGAAUAUUGCACAAUGGGCGAAAGGCUGAUGCAGCAACGCAGCGUGAAGGAAGAAGGGUUUCGGCUCGUAAACUUCUAUCAAUAGGGACGAAAGAAAUGAGGAUACCCGAAUAAGAAGCCCAGGCUAACUACGUGCAAGCAGCAGCGGUAAUACGUAGGGGGCAAGCGUUAUCCGGAAUUACUGGUGUUAAAGGGUGAGUAGGCGGAAUGGUAAGCCAGAGGUGAAAGCCUUGGGCUUAACCCGAGGAUUGCAUUUGGAACUAUCAAGCUAGAGUACAGGAACGGAAAGCGGAAUUCCUAGGGUAGCGGUGAAAUGCGUAGAUAUUAGGAAGAACACCAGUGGCGAAGGCGGCUUUCUGGACUGCAACUGACGCUGAGGCACGAAAGCGUGGGGAGCGAACAGGAUUAGAUACCCCGGUAGUC
rnacentral:rRNA from 1 species